CUGCAAAAAAGAGAUUCUUUGAAAUAUAUUUGGAUAAUUAUGCCAAACCAGAUUUCGGAAUUGGAUUUCCUGGUGCCAGUGAACUUAUUUCUCAGUGUAAAAGCAAAGGCAUUAAGGUGGCUGUUGCAUCUAGUGCUGAUUGCAUAAAGGUUGAUGCUAAUCUAGCUGCUGCUGGUUUGCCAUUGUCAAUGU